AAUCGUGCGGAGACGCCGGGAGUCGCCGCUGGUUUCGUAUCGAUAGAUCACAGAGGCUAUGGAGGCGAUCAACAACGAAGCGCUGAUCGCCUGCGUUGAGGCUCGACCUGCGCUUUGGUAGCAGGCGAAACACAAGCGCCACUAGAACAAGCACUUGACGAGGUGGUCGUGGAUCGUCAUGCCCAACGCUGCCGAACAGAUGACGUUAUCACAGCGCUGCAGAAGUGAUGGAAGUCCCUGGGGAAUAAAUUUCGGCGCCUGGGAAGACGUCAGAAAGGAAAGAGCCGCGCCGUGCCAGCUGUCGACGUUCACAACGACGUCAUCUGGCUGUUUUUCGACCAGAUGAUGUUUCUGCGCUACACAAUGGAGUGUAGACCGAUGUCCGCCAACCUUCCACCAGUGCCCCCAUCGAGUGAAGAGGGAAGUGCUGCAGACAUCUUAACAAAAAAUUUGCCAGUUUUCCGAUCUGGCAACACUUGAAGCGCCAUCACCGUGAUGUGAAGAGUCACAAGCACCA